CACGUAGGGUGCGAGCGUUGUCCGGAAUUAUUGGGCGUAAAGAGCUCGUAGGCGGUGUGUCGCGUCGGCCGUGAAAACCUGCAGCUUAACUGUGGGCUUGCGGUCGAUACGGGCAUCACUGGAGUUCGGCAGGGGAGACUGGAAUUCCUGGUGUAGCGGUGAAAUGCGCAGAUAUCAGGAGGAACACCGGUGGCGAAGGCGGUUCUCUGGGAAUUACCUGACGCUGAGGAGCGAAAGUGUGGGGAGCGAACAGG
rnacentral:rRNA from 1 species